GGGGAGACCAGUACUUUUCAAGUUCCCCAGCAUGUGCCACCAGAGUUGAGAACCACUGCCUUCAUUGUGCCAACAGGUCCCUGUGUAGGCUGUUUCAACUGAAACCGUCUCCUGCUAAAUCCCUUGCUGCUGCUGCUGCUGCUGCUGCUGAGUCGCUUCAGUCGUGUCUGGCUCUGUGUGACCCCAUAGACGGAAGCCCACCAGGUUCCUCUGUCCCUGGGAUUCUCCAGUCUUUCCCAGCAUCAGGGUCUUUUCAAAUGAGUCAGCUCUUCGCAUCAGGUGGCCAAAGUAUUGGAGUUUCAGCUUCAACAUCAGUCCUUCCAAUGAACACCCAGGACUGGUCUCCUUUAGGAUGGACUGGUUGGAUCUCCUUGCAGUCCAAGGGAUUCUCAAGAGUUCUUCUCCACAGUUCAAAAGCAUCAAUUCUUCUGCACUCAGCUUUCUUUAGAGUCCAACUCUCAGGAGCUAUAAAUAGUGGUAUAUUCAUAUAAUGCAAUAUCAAAC
ensembl:lncRNA